CCUAGGCACAUUGCAGGUGUGAUUGUUGUAUCACAUGUGCAUACAAGCAAGAAGAGAGGUUAUGCUUAUGCUCAGUGAUCAGACUUAUGAAAAUCAGAAUGAGAAGUAGCCUAACACU
ensembl:snoRNA Gm24229 predicted gene, 24229